UACGUAGGGUGCAAGCGUUAAUCGGAAUUACUGGGCGUAAAGCGUGCGCAGGCGGUUUUGUAAGUCUGACGUGAAAGCCCCGGGCUUAACCUGGGAAUUGCGUUGGAGACUGCAAGGCUUGAAUCUGGCAGAGGGGGGUAGAAUUCCACGUGUAGCAGUGAAAUGCGUAGAGAUGUGGAGGAACACCGAUGGCGUAGGCAGCCCCCUGGGUCAAGAUUGACGCUCAUGCACGAAAGCGUGGGGAGCAAACAGG
rnacentral:rRNA from 1 species